rnacentral:rRNA from 1 species
UACAGAGGGUGCGAGCGUUGUCCGGAAUUACUGGGCGUAAAGCGCACGUAGGCGGCUUUGUAAGUUAGAGGUGAAAGCCCAGGGCUCAACCCUGGAAUUGCCUUUAAGACUGCAUCGCUAGAAUUGUGGAGAGGUAAGUGGAAUUCCGAGUGUAGAGGUGAAAUUCGUAGAUAUUCGGAAGAACACCAGUGGCGAAGGCGACUUACUGGACACAUAUUGACGCUGAGGUGCGAAAAGCGUGGGGAGCAAACAGG